rnacentral:rRNA from 1 species
UGAGGAAUAUUGGUCAAUGGACGCAAGUCUGAACCAGCCAAGUAGCGUGCAGGAUGACGGCCCUAUGGGUUGUAAACUGCUUUUAUAUGGGGAUAAAGUGGGGAACGUGUUCCCUUUUGCAGGUACCAUAUGAAUAAGGACCGGCUAAUUCCGUGCCAGCAGCCGCGGUAAUACGGAAGGUUCGGGCGUUAUCCGGAUUUAUUGGGUUUAAAGGGAGCGUAGGCCGUUUGGUAAGCGUGUUGUGAAAUGUAGGAGCUCAACUUCUAGAUUGCAGCGCGAACUGUCAGACUUGAGUGCGCACAACGUAGGCGGAAUUCAUGGUGUAGCGGUGAAAUGCUUAGAUAUCAUGAAGAACGCCGAUUGCGAAGGCAGCUUACGGGAGCGCAACUGACGCUGAAGCUCGAAGGUGCGAGUAUCGAACAGG